GUGCCCGUACAUGUUUAAAGGUGAACUGUCGAUUUUAUAACGAAAAAUGCAUUUGUAUAAAUAUGUAUAUUCUAAAACAAGUGGAAUCAUCAAGAGCUAUGGCAAAAAAUAUUGCGAUACUAAAAAACGAUGUUUUUGUUUUCCGUAAACCGCCCGGGUAUUUCCGCCACCUAUUUUGGUUGUGACGUCACCGGCACUCAACGCGCAUGACUCGGAUACACGUCCAUUGUUAUUACGAAUCGAAGCGUGAACACUUCGCGCUAAAUGUCAAAUUUGACACUCACGUUAGCAAAAUACAAUUCUUUUACACAAGUUUUAUUGAAAUCGUGUGCUUUCUCUGUAUUUUUUGCAUGACAAUCGUUAUUCGAUAUGGUUCAGUGUGUUGCUUUCGGGUGCAAAGAACGUGAGGAAAAUGGAAAGAAGGUUUUUUUUCCGUUUUGCGAAGGAUGAUGUUACUUGUAAGAAAUGGAUAAAGGCUGUCAAUUCCAGGAGAGUAAUCGAUGGGAGACUGGUUGAUUUCAAACCGAGUAAGGCAUCUAGAUUGUGCUUGAAACAUUUUGACGACAGUUGUUUUUUUUUCAUCCUCCAAGUGUUAUGGCUAGUGUUGGAAUGGAGUUAAAGCUCAAGCUCAAAGCUGGUGCAAUUCCAACGAUAUUUCCGGAAACAGAGGCAUACAAAGCUUCAAAGAAAGCUCCUCUAAAUCCCAACGACCUUGGACUAGGGAAGCACAACCGAGCGAAGUAUGGCGCCUAUUCUGAAAGGAACCGGACCCAUAUUCAUCAUGUGUGGAAGAGCCAGAUGUCUGUGAAGAAAUGUCUUGUGAACAGUCGCCUGUUCGGAUCAGUUAUCCUGAAUCACAUUUUGAUAAUGUGUAUUCGCAGUCAUCACAGACAUCUGAGACGGUUGUAUUUCGGCCAACAGAACAUAAGGGAUUCACUGUCAAACCACAGGGAAAGGACUCUCCUAUCCUAAGUACAAGGCUGGACACCAUGUGGUUAAAGCAGUUAAAGAGAAUUGCACUUAUGACUAUGUUGAUGAACUAAUGGCAGAGCUGCUUAGGAUGAAAGAGGAGUACAAGAGCGAUGCCAAUGCAAGGGCUGCCUCUGGCAACAUUCUGUUUUCACCGCCGUCCGUCUUCAUCUGCAAACAGAAUCCUGAAGUCUGAGGCUGUGCAGAACCAUCGUUCGCGAUUUAAUUAGCGAACAGGGAUGGAAAUUAGUGGUUGCCCGUUUUGUUGUAUAGUUAUCUAUUACUUUUAAAGAAAGUAUUGGUUACACAUGACACUACAUGUACCUAGUACUGGGCGCGUUGAGGCUUACGAUGGGAAACCAAAAAACUAUAGAUGGUUGUCCAUGUGGGCAACCAACUGUAAAACGUUAGUUUCCAUCCCUGGCGAAGCAAAAUCAAAUGUAUGAGUCGGACGGAAAUCUCUGGCUGCCACAGCGCAUGACGGUAGAGGUCGUCGAUCCUUCUUGCUCUGACGGUGCCAAAUCCAACGAGCCAGUCUUCUAUAGGCAAUGUAUCUGUAUACUCUGAAGUUAUAAAUGUAUAAGGAAACCAUUAUGAUAAAUAUUAGUAUGUUUAGUAAAACAAAGGUACUUUUCAACUUGACAAUUACACAAGCCAUGCUGUGGCAGAUUCUUACUUAAGUUUACAGUUUAACAAACUUAUUCAGCUUGAAUAUAAUAUUAUAUAAUAUAUAUUUUACUGAAAAUAUGUCAGAAAUCAGAUUUUGUAAGCAACUUCACAUCAUGUUGUAGCAGGUUGUUAUUCUAGUGUACUUUUUAAAAAAUUAAACAGCUUGUAUUUAUAUUUUUAUUUCAAAUGUUGAAAAAUAAUAAGGAACUGGCAUUUGUAAGAAACCAAAAAUCAUUGUGUAGCAAAUUGAUACUUCAUUUUACAAUUAGAUAACCCAGUCAUCUUGUAUACACGCGUAUUUUAAUGUUGAUUAAAAUUGUUGUCUUUUUUAUGUUAUUUAUCCACCGCCAGAGGCGGAGGGAUAUUGUUUUGGCGUUGUCCGUCCGUCCGGCUGUCCGUCCGUCCGUCCUGCACUUUUGUGUCCGGAGCCAUAUCUUGGAAGUGCUUUGGCGGAUUUCAUUGAAACUUGGUAUGAGUAUAUAUAUGCAUAAGAGGAUGAUGCACGCCAAAUGGCAUUGUACACCAUCUGUUAAAAACAGAGUUAUGGCCCUUUGUAUCUUGAAAAAAUGCUUUUUACUUUAGGAACUUUUGUGUCCGGAGCCAUAUCUUGGAAGUGCUUUGGCGGAUUUUAUUGAAACUUGGUAUGAGUAUAUAUAUGCAUAAGAGGAUGAUGCACGCCAAAUGGCAUUGUAUACCAUCUGUUAAAAACAGAGUUAUGGCUCUUUGUAUCUUGAAAAAAUGCUUUUUACUGUAUGCACUUUUGUGUCCUGAGCCAUAUCUUGGAAGUGCUUUGGCAGAUUUCAUUGAAACUUGGUACGAGUAUAUAUCCCCCGCCAGAGGCGGAGGGAUAUUGUUUGGCGUUGUCCGGCUGUCCGUCCGGCUGCCCGUCUGUCCGUUACUUUUGUGUCCGGAGCCAUAUCUUGGAAGUGCUUUUGCGGAUUUCAUUGAAACUUGGUAUGAGUACAUAUAUUGAUAAUAGGUUAAUGCACGCCAAAUGGCAUUGUACACCAUCUGAUAAUAACAGAGUUAUGGCCCUUUGUAUCUUCAAAAAAAUGCUUUUUUAGUGUCAAAUAUAACACUUUUGUGUCCAGAAGUAUAUAGGCGGGGGAUAUCAAUUCAACGAAUUUGCUUGUUUUAUUAUUUGUAUCAAAACAUAUUUACAGUAUGAAAUACAAAUGACAAGUUCACACAAAA